rnacentral:rRNA from 1 species
UACGAAGGGGGCGAGCGUUGUUCGGAAUUACUGGGCGUAAAGGGCGCGUAGGCGGCCGAUCAAGUCAGAUGUGAAAGUCCUGGGCUUAACCUGGGGACUGCAUUUGAUACUGAUUGGCUUGAAUUCGGGAGAGGAUAGCGGAAUUCCCAGUGUAGAGGUGAAAUUCGUAGAUAUUGGGAAGGACACCGGUGGCGAAGGCGGCUAUCUGGACCGACAUUGACGCUGAGGCGCGAAAGCGUGGGGAGCAAACAGG